GGAGUGUAGCUCAGAUAGGUAAGAGCGUCCCGAUUAUAUAGGGAAGGUAUAGGUUCAAACCCUGUCACUCCGCCA
rnacentral:tRNA from 1 species